UGAAAAAGAAUGGCUAUCAAUCCUAUCAUUGUACGAAGGACGAGAAUAUAUGCCAUCUCCCACUGGCAUGGCCUGCACUCACCCAUGUGAUCGAUGUGUCACCACUCACCACCAAAUCACUGUACAUAGAUUCCCUUUUUCUUCUAUUAAUUCUCAGGAGAAGUCUUUGAAGCUUAAUUCUUGCAUUUCCAAAGAAGCUUCAUCACAAUCCAAGUCUUCCAUCAUAUAGAACUGAUCAAUAAGCAACACCUGGUCUUGCCGACUUGCAGUACUAGCUAGCACCAUUAACACCCUCUCUUCUACAAGAGCAAUCAAGUUGUAUCUCCGAAAAUGAAUAACAGUGAUGCGAAGAAGAAGAGGGAAGAGGCAAGAACAAGAGCUAGGGAAAGAACAGAGCAGAAACUGAAGAUCAGAUCAACAAGCUGCCAAACCAAUCAGGCUAAGGAUCUAAACCCUUUCAUAAUUAAUUUUAUGCCCAGCCAAGACUACAAAUUCACUUAUCAUUGUCAUUCACCUAAACCCGGCCAGAACGUUCCUCAAGUUUAACUGAGCCAGAAGCUUUUCUCACUGCAGAGUGCAGCGCUUAUAUUAUGAAGUGGGACAGUUACAAUCUUUGAAAGUGUAUGCGAGAAGGAGAAGAGCGCAAUUAUUUAUGUUUUCAGUAUUAUUGCAGUUUGCUUAAUUCAGAUUCUAUUUGAGCUUUUUAUUGGUAAUUAAAUUUGAAGAUGUUGUAAUAUAGAUAUGCUAUCUCUUCUAUAUAAGAAUUGGGUCAUGCAUGUGGAUAUAUAGUGUGUGUAUAUGAUCUUACUAUCAUAUUUUUCAAGCUUCAUGUUUACUUAGAUCAUGAGUAGCUAGCAAAGUGGUACAAAAAAGACAGUUGAAACUUGAAAACGAAGAAAACUACUAGGAACAAUAUUGUGCUAGCUCAUCCAUCACUAGCUUCUUAACUGUUUAACAUUGAAGUUCCUACCAUAGCAGUAGAUAUGUUUGAUAUUAUUAGAUGAGAACGUACUACAAAUCACAUACAUAACUAUGUGUGCUUGAUCGGCUCGGAUGGAGUUCAUAACAGUAUUGAUCUUCCUCGUCAUGGCCUGGGCGCGCUAGCUGAAGCAAUGUAUUGGUAAGGGCCACCUAUAGCUGGCAAUCAGCUUGUUCCAGGUAUAGAAAAAACAACAUCAAACACCAAUCCUUGCUUAUUUCUUUUGUUUGUGUGAAAUUUCUCAGAUCAGUCAAUAUAUAUAGCUGAGUAUCUUAC
rnacentral:lncRNA from 1 species